UGAAGGGAGCUUGCUCCUGGAUUCAGCGGCGGACGGGUGAGUAAUGCCUAGGAAUCUGCCUGGUAGUGGGGGAUAACGUCCGGAAACGGGCGCUAAUACCGCAUACGUCCUGAGGGAGAAAGUGGGGGAUCUUCGGACCUCACGCUGUCAGAUGAGCCUAGGUCGGAUUAGCUAGUUGGUGGGGUAAAGGCCUACCAAGGCGACGAUCCGUAACUGGUCUGAGAGGAUGAUCAGUCACACUGGAACUGAGACACGGUCCAGACUCCUACGGGAGGCAGCAGUGGGGAAUAUUGGACAAUGGGCGAAAGCCUGAUCCAGCCAUGCCGCGUGUGUGAAGAAGGUCUUCGGAUUGUAAAGCACUUUAAGUUGGGAGGAAGGGCAGUAAGUUAAUACCUUGCUGUUUUGACGUUACCAACAGAAUAAGCACCGGCUAACUUCGUGCCAGCAGCCGCGGUAAUACGAAGGGUGCAAGCGUUAAUCGGAAUUACUGGGCGUAAAGCGCGCGUAGGUGGUUCAGCAAGUUGGAUGUGAAAUCCCCGGGCUCAACCUGGGAACUGCAUCCAAAACUACUGAGCUAGAGUACGGUAGAGGGUGGUGGAAUUUCCUGUGUAGCGGUGAAAUGCGUAGAUAUAGGAAGGAACACCAGUGGCGAAGGCGACCACCUGGACUGAUACUGACACUGAGGUGCGAAAGCGU
rnacentral:rRNA from 1 species